UACGGGGUGCUGCAGACGGGAGAGUAACACGUGGGAACGUACCCUUUGGUUCGGAACAACCCAGGGAAACUUGGGCUAAUACCGAAUAAGCCCUUACGGGGAAAGAUUUAUCGCCGAAGGAUCGGCCCGCGUCUGAUUAGCUAGUUGGUGAGGUAACGGCUCACCAAGGCGACGAUCAGUAGCUGGUCUGAGAGGAUGAUCAGCCUCACUGGGACUGAGACACGGCCCAGACUCCUACGGGGCGCUGCAGUAACGAAUCUUCCGCAAUGCACGAAAGUGUGACGGAGCGACGCCGCGUGUGGGACGAAGUCCUUCGGGAUGUAAACCACUGUCAGGGGUUACCAAGUUCUGAGGAGCCCCAGAGGAAGGCACGGCUAACUCUGUGCCAGCAGCCGCGGUAAGACAGAGGUGCCAAGCGUUAGGCGGAAUCACUGGGCUUAAAGCGUGUGUAGGCGGAAUUGUAAGUACCUUGUGAAAUCCCACGGCUCAACCGUGGAACUGCUCGGUAUACUGCUUUUCUUGAGCCACUUAGGGGCUGUCGGAACAAA
rnacentral:rRNA from 1 species